AGUCGAACGCAGUAGCAAUACUGAGUGGCAAACGGGUGAGUAUAAUGUGGGAAUCUGCCUUUUGGUUCGGAAUAACACGAGGAAACUUGUGCUAAUACCGGAUAAGCCCUUACGGGGAAAGUUUUAAUGCCAAAAGAUGAGCCCGCAUUUGAUUAGCUAGUUGGUAAGGUAAAAGCUUACCAAGGCGACAAUCAAUAGCUGAUUUGAGAGGACGAUCAGCCACACUGGAACUGAGACACGGUCCAGACUCC
rnacentral:rRNA from 1 species